UACAGAGGGUGCAAGCGUUGUUCGGAAUUAUUGGGCGUAAAGCGCGUGUAGGCGGCAUUGCAAGUCGGGUGUGAAAGCCCUCGGCUCAACCAUGGACGUGCAUUCGAAACUGCGAGGCUUGAGUAUGGAAGAGGGUCGCGGAAUUCCCGGUGUAGAGGUGAAAUUCGUAGAUAUCGGGAGGAACACCCGUGGCGAAGGCGGCUCUCUGGGACGGUACUGACGCUGAGACGCGAAAAGCGUGGGGAGCGAACAGG
rnacentral:rRNA from 1 species